AUACGAAGGGGGCUAGCGUUGCUCGGAUUUACUGGGCGUAAAGGGCGCGUAGGCGGUUCGUACAGUCAGACGUGAAAUUCCUGGGCUCAACCUGGGGGCUGCGUUUGAUACGGGCGGUCUUGAGUGCGGAAGAGGGUCGUGGAAUUCCCGGUGUAGAGGUGAAAUUCGUAGAUAUUGGGAAGAACACCGGUGGCGAAGGCGGCGACCUGGUCCGAUACUGACGCUGAGGCGCGAAAGCGUGGGGAGCAAACAGGAUUAGAUACCCUGGUAGUCCACGCCGUAAACGAUGUGCGCUGGAUGUUGGGUGACAUAGUCACUCAGUGUCGUAGCAAACGCGAUAAGCGCACCGCCUGGGGAGCACGGCCGCAAGGUUGAAACUCAAAUGAAUCGGCGGGG
rnacentral:rRNA from 1 species